rnacentral:tRNA from 1 species
CGGCGACCGGGAGCUCCUUGGGGCAGUUCGCCCGGCUCCAAGCCGGGCUGGGCAACCUGCGCGGGAUCUUCGAGACAUCCUCGUCGGCCA